rnacentral:ribozyme from 1 species
AGAAAAGAAUUUUCUCUGUUUUUUUUUUUUGUUGUUUUUUUUGUCGUUUCUGUUGGUUCAAGUCUCAAAGAAGAAGACGAAAA